GACGAACGCUGGCGGCGUGCUUAACACAUGCAAGUCGAACGGAAAGGCCCUGCUUUUGUGGGGUGCUCGAGUGGCGACCGGGUGAGUAACACGUGAGUAACCUGCCCUUGACUUUGGGAUAACUUCAGGAAACUGGGGCUAAUACCGGAUAGGAGCUCCUGCUGCAUGGUGGGGGUUGGAAAGUUUCGGCGGUUGGGGAUGGACUCGCGGCUUAUCAGCUUGUUGGUGGGGUAGUGGCUUACCAAGGCUUUGACGGGUAGCCGGCCUGGGCGGGUCACCGGCCACAUUGGGACUGAGAUGCGGCCCAGACUCCUACGGGAGGCAGCAGUGGGGAAUAUUGCACAAUGGGCGGAAGCCUGAUGCAGCAACGCCGCGUGCGGGAUGACGGCCUUCGGGUUGUAAACCGCUUUCGCCUGUGACGAAGCGUGAGUGACGGUAAUGGGUAAAGAAGCACCGGCUAACUACGUG
rnacentral:rRNA from 1 species